rnacentral:rRNA from 1 species
GUUAGCGGCGGACGGGUGAGUAACACGUGGGUAACCUGCCUGUAAGACUGGGAUAACUCCGGGAAACCGGGGCUAAUACCGGAUGCUUGUUUGAACCGCAUGGUUCAGACAUAAAAGGUGGCUUCGGCUACCACUUACAGAUGGACCCGCGGCGCAUUAGCUAGUUGGUGAGGUAACGGCUCACCAAGGCGACGAUGCGUAGCCGACCUGAGAGGGUGAUCGGCCACACUGGGACUGAGACACGGCCCAGACUCCUACGGGAGGCAGCAGUAGGGAAUCUUCCGCAAUGGACGAAAGUCUGACGGAGCAACGCCGCGUGAGUGAUGAAGGUUUUCGGAUCGUAAAGCUCUGUUGUUAGGGAAGAACAAGUGCCGUUCAAAUAGGGCGGCACCUUGACGGUACCUAACCAGAAAGCCACGGCUAACUACGUGCCAGCAGCCGCGGUAAUACGUAGGUGGCAAGCGUUGUCCGGAAUUAUUGGGCGUAAAGGGCUCGCAGGCGGUUUCUUAAGUCUGAUGUGAAAGCCCCCGGCUCAACCGGGGAGGGUCAUUGGAAACUGGGGAACUUGAGUGCAGAAGAGGAGAGUGGAAUUCCACGUGUAGCGGUGAAAUGCGUAGAGAUGUGGAGGAACACCAGUGGCGAAGGCGACUCUCUGGUCUGUAACUGACGCUGAGGAGCGAAAGCGUGGGGAGCGAACAGGAUUAGAUACCCUGGUAGUCCACGCCGUAAACGAUGAGUGCUAAGUGUUAGGGGGUUUCCGCCCCUUAGUGCUGCAGCUAACGCAUUAAGCACUCCGCCUGGGGAGUACGGUCGCAAGACUGAAACUCAAAGGAAUUGACGGGGGCCCGCACAAGCGGUGGAGCAUGUGGUUUAAUUCGAAGCAACGCGAAGAACCUUACCAGGUCUUGACAUCCUCUGACAAUCCUAGAGAUAGGACGUCCCCUUCGGGGGCAGAGUGACAGGUGGUGCAUGGUUGUCGUCAGCUCGUGUCGUGAGAUGUUGGGUUAAGUCCCGCAACGAGCGCAACCCUUGAUCUUAGUUGCCAGCAUUCAGUUGGGCACUCUAAGGUGACUGCCGGUGACAAACCGGAGGAAGGUGGGGAUGACGUCAAAUCAUCAUGCCCCUUAUGACCUGGGCUACACACGUGCUACAAUGGGCAGAACAAAGGGCAGCGAAACCGCGAGGUUAAGCCAAUCCCACAAAUCUGUUCUCAGUUCGGAUCGCAGUCUGCAACUCGACUGCGUGAAGCUGGAAUCGCUAGU